rnacentral:rRNA from 1 species
UGGCUCAGAACGAACGCUGGCGGCGCGUCUUAAGCAUGCAAGUCGAACGGCAAGAGGUAGCAAUACCUCCUAGAGUGGCGGACUGGUGAGUAACACGUGGGUGACAUACCCUUCAGAUGGGGAUAGCUAUUAGAAAUAGUAGAUAAUACCGAAUACGAGCACAGGGGUUAGAGAUCUGUGAGGAAAGGAGCUAAGGCUCCGCUGAAGGAAUGGCCUGCGGCCCAUUAGCUAGUUGGUGAGGUAAGAGCCCACCAAGGCGAUGAUGGGUACCCGGCCUUAGAGGGUGAACGGACACAUUGGGACUGAGAUACGGCCCAGACUCCUACGGGAGGCAGCAGCUAAGAAUAUUCCGCAAUGGACGAAAGUCUGACGGAGCGACGCCGCGUGGAUGAAGAAGGCCGGAAGGUUGUAAAAUCCUUUUGAAACUGAAGAAUAAGCGUUGUAGGGAAUGACAGCGUGGUGACAGUAGGUUUUGAAUAAGCAACGGCUAAUUACGUGCCAGCAGCCGC